rnacentral:rRNA from 1 species
AAGACCUAGUAAUAGGUAUGCUUUAGGAGGGGCUUGCGCCAUAUUAGUUAGUUGGUAGGGUAAUGGCCUACCAAGACGAUGAUGUGUAGCUGGACUGAGAGGUUGAACAGCCACAUUGGGACUGAGACACGGCCCAAACUCCUACGGGAGGCAGCAGUAGGGAAUUUUCGGCAAUGGAGGAAACUCUGACCGAGCAACGCCGCGUGAAUGACGAAGUACUUCGGUAUGUAAAGUUCUUUUAUCAAGGAAGAAAAGCAAAUGGCGAACCAUUUGUUUGCCGGUACUUGAUGAAUAAGCCCCGGCUAAUUAUGUGCCAGCAGCCGCGGUAAGACAUAAGGGGCAAGUGUUAUCCGGAAUUAUUGGGCGUAAAGGGUGCGUAGGCGGUCUAGUAAGUCAGUGGUGUAAUGGCAACGCUUAACGUUGUCCGGCUAUUGAAACUGCUAAACUUGAGUUAGAUAGAGGCGAGUGGAAUUCCAUGUGUAGCGGUAAAAUGCGUAAAUAUAUGGAGGAACACCANAGGCGUAGGCGGCUCGCUGGGUCUUAACUGACGCUGAGGCACGAAAGCGUGGGGAGCAAACAGGAUUA